ACAUGCAAGUCGAACGGAAAGGCCUUGUGCUUGCACAAGGUACUCGAGUGGCGAACGGGUGAGUAACACGUGGGUGAUCUGCCCUGCACUGUGGGAUAAGCCUGGGAAACUGGGUCUAAUACCAUAUAGGACCGCAYYUUGGAUGGUGUGGUGGAAAGCUUUUGCGGUGUGGGAUGAGCCUGCGGCCUAUCAGCUUGUUGGUGGGGUAAUGGCCUACCAAGGCGGCGACGGGUAUCCGGCCUGAGAGGGUGUACGGACACAUUGGGACUGAGAUACGGCCCAGACUCCUACGGGAGGCAGCAGUGGGGAAUAUUGCACAAUGGGCGCAAGCCUGAUGCAGCGACGCCGCGUGGGGGAUGAAGGCCUUCGGGUUGUAAACUCCUUUCGCUAUCGACGAAGCCACUUGUGGUGACGGUAGGUAGAUAAGAAGCACCGGCUAACUACGUGCCAGCAGCCGCGGUAAUACGUAGGGUGCAAGCGUUGUCCGGAAUUACUGGGCGUAAAGAGCUCGUAGGUGGUUUGUCGCGUCSUCUGUGAAAUCCCGGGGCUUAACUUCGGGCGUGCAGGCGAUACGGGCAUAACUUGAGUGCUGUAGGGGAGACUGKAAUUCCUGGUGUAGCGGUGAAAUGCGCAGAUAUCASGAGGAACACCGAUGGCGAAGGCAGGUCUCUGGGCAGUUACUGACGCUGAGGAGCGAAAGC
rnacentral:rRNA from 1 species